UACGGGGGGGCAAGCGUUGUUCGGAAUUACUGGGCGUAAAGGGCUCGUAGGUGGCCAACUAAGUCAGACGUGAAAUCCCUCGGCUUAACCGGGGAACUGCGUCUGAUACUGGAUGGCUUGAGUUUGGGAGAGGGAUGCGGAAUUCCAGGUGUAGCGGUGAAAUGCGUAGAUAUCUGGAGGAACACCGGUGGCGAAGGCGGCAUCCUGGACCAAUAUUGACGCUGAGGAGCGAAAGCCAGGGGAGCAAACGGG
rnacentral:rRNA from 1 species